rnacentral:rRNA from 1 species
CAGCAGCCGCCGCGGGAAUACGUAGGGUGCGAGCGUUGUCCGGAAUUAUUGGGCGUAAAGAGCUCGUAGGCGGUUCGUCGCGUCUGCCGUGAAAUCCUCAGGCUCAACCUGAGGCGUGCGGUGGGUACGGGCGAACUAGAGUGCGGUAGGGGAGAAUGGAACUCCUGGUGUAGCGGUGGAAUGCGCAGAUAUCAGGAAGAACACCGAUGGCGAAGGCAGUUCUCUGGGCCGUAACUGACGCUGAGGAGCGAAAGCGUGGGGAGCGAACAGGAUUAGAGACCCCCGUAGUCCCUGUCUCUUAUAC